UACAGAGGGUGCGAGCGUUGUUCGGAAUUAUUGGGCGUAAAGGGCGCGUAGGCGGCGCCACAAGUCACUUGUGAAAACUCUGGGCUCAACCCAGAGCCUGCAGGCGAAACUGUGGUGCUGGAGUAUGGGAGAGGUGCGUGGAAUUCCCGGUGUAGCGGUGAAAUGCGCAGAUAUCAGGAGGAACACCGAUGGCGAAGGCAGGUCUCUGGGCCAUUACUGACACUGAGAAGCGAAAGCAUGGGGAGCGAACAGG
rnacentral:rRNA from 1 species